UACGUAGGGUGCAAGCGUUGUCCGGAAUUAUUGGGCGUAAAGAGCUCGUAGGCGGUUCGUCGCGUCGGCUGUGAAAACCCGGAGCUCAACUCCGGGCCUGCAGUCGAUACGGGCGGACUUGAGUUCGGCAGGGGAGACUGGAAUUCCUGGUGUAGCGGUGAAAUGCGCAGAUAUCAGGAGGAACACCGAUGGCGAAGGCAGGUCUCUGGGCAUUAACUGACGCUGAGGAGCGAAAGCAUGGGGAGCGAACAGG
rnacentral:rRNA from 1 species